rnacentral:rRNA from 1 species
UGAGGAAUAUUGGUCAAUGGGCGAGAGCCUGAACCAGCCAAGUAGCGUGCAGGAUGACGGCCCUAUGGGUUGUAAACUGCUUUUAUAUGGGAAUAAAGUGAGGGUCGUGUCCCUUAUUGCAUGUACCAUACGAAUAAGGACCGGCUAAUUCCGUGCCAGCAGCCGCGGUAAUACGGAAGGUCCAGGCGUUAUCCGGAUUUAUUGGGUUUAAAGGGAGCGUAGGCUGUUUGUUAAGCGUGUUGUGAAAUGUAAGAGCUCAACUUUUAGAUUGCAGCGCGAACUGGCAGACUUGAGUGCGCACAACGUAGGCGGAAUUCAUGGUGUAGCGGUGAAAUGCUUAGAUAUCAUGACGAACUCCGAUUGCGAAGGCAGCUUACGGGAGCGCAACUGACGCUAAAGCUCGAAGGUGCGGGUAUCGAACAGG